rnacentral:rRNA from 1 species
GACGAACGCUGGCGGCGUGCCUAAUACAUGCAAGUCGAGCGGACGAAUCGAAAGCUUGCUUUUGAUUCGUUAGCGGCGGACGGGUGAGUAACACGUGGGCAACCUGCCCUGUAGACGGGGAUAACACCGAGAAAUCGGUGCUAAUACCGGAUAACACGAAAUGUCGCAUGACGUUUCGUUGAAAGACGGCGCAAGCUGUCGCUACAGGAUGGGCCCGGGUCGCAUUAGCUAGUUGGUGAGGUAACGGCUCACCAAGGCGACAAUGCGUAGCCGACCUGAGAGAGUGAUCGGCCACACGGGGAGUGAGACACGGCCCAGACUCCUACGGGAGGCAGCAGUAGGGAAUCUUCCGCAGUGGUCGGAAGUCUGACGGAGCAACGCCGCGUGAGCGAAGGAGGCCUUCGGGUCGUAAAGCUCUGUUGUUAGGGAAGAACAGGUAACGCAGGAACUGGCGUUACCGUGACGGUACCUAGCGAGAAAGCCACGGCUAACUACGUG